rnacentral:rRNA from 1 species
AUUGAACGCUGGCGGCAGGCCUAACACAUGCCAGUCGAACGGUAACAGGAAGAAGCUUGCUUCUUUGCUGACGAGUGGCGGACGGGUGAGUAAUGUCUGGGAAACUGCCUGAUGGAGGGGGAUAACUACUGGAAACGGUAGCUAAUACCGCAUAACGUCGCAAGACCAAAAAGGGGGACCUUCGGGCCUCUUGCCAUCGGGUGUGCCCAGAUGGGAUUAGCUAGUAGGUGGGGUAACGGCUCACCUAGGCGACGAUCCGUAGCUGGUCUGAGAGGAUGACCAGCGACACUGGAACUGAGACACGGUCCAGACGCCUGCGGGAGGCAGCAGUGGGGAAUAUUGCACAAUGGGCGCAAGCCUGAUGCAGCCAGGCCGCGUGUAUGAAGAAGGCCUUCGGGUUGUAAAGUACUUUCAGCGGGGAGGAAGGGAGUAAAGUUAAUACCUUGGCUCAUUGACGUUACCCGCAGAAGAAGCACCGGCUAACUCCGUG